rnacentral:rRNA from 1 species
UACGUAGGGUGCGAGCGUUAAUCGGAAUUACUGGGCGUAAAGCGUGCGCAGGCGGUGAUGUAAGACAGAUGUGAAAUCCCCGGGCUUAACCUGGGAAUGGCGAUGGUGACUGCAAGGCUAGAGUUUGGCAGAGGGGGGUAGAAUUCCACGUGUAGCAGUGAAAUGCGUUGAGAUGUGGAGGAACACCGAUGGCGAAGGCAGCCCCCUGGGUCAAAACUGACGCUCAUGCACGAAAGCGUGGGGAGCAAACAGG